rnacentral:rRNA from 1 species
UGGGGAAUCUUCCGCAAUGGACGAAAGUCUGACGGAGCAACGCCGCGUGAGUGAAGAAGGUCUUCGGAUCGUAAAGCUCUGUUGUACGGGACGAAUGUUGGAGGCGUGAAAAAUGCCAUCAAAUGACGGUACUGUACGAGGAAGCCACGGCUAACUACGUGCCAGCAGCCGCGGUAAUACGUAGGUGGCAAGCGUUGUCCGGAAUUAUUGGGCGUAAAGGGCGCGCAGGCGGCCUGUCAAGUCUGUCUUAAAAGUGCGGGGCUCAACCCCGUGAUGGGACGGAAACUGGCAGGCUGGAGUGUCGGAGAGGAAAGCAGAAUUCCUAGUGUAGCGGUGAAAUGCGUAGAUAUUAGGAGGAAUACCAGUGGCGAAAGCGGCUUUCUGGACGACAACUGACGCUGAGGCGCGAAAGCCAGGGGAGCAAACGGGAUUAGAUACCCCGGUAGUCCUGGCCGUAAACGAUGGGUACUAGGUGUAGGAGGUAUCGACCCCUUCUGUGCCGGAGUUAACGCAAUAAGUAUCCCGCCUGGGGAGUACGGCCGCAAGGCUG